AACUAGUGUCAUCAUAUAAACAGUUAGUGGAUAGCAUGUGGUGAACAAGAUCCAUGCAAAAAAAACUUGUCCACAAGGGGCAAAAUACUGAAAAUUUUGCAGAGGAUCAGAAGACACCAAAUUUGAGAAAAGAAAGAAAGAAACAAGCUAAUUGGGUGUGGAUGGCAUUACAUGAGAAUUAAACUUUACACGCAAUCAGUUUUU
rnacentral:misc_RNA from 1 species